UUCAGAUACCUCCAGAUCGACCCCUCCUUCAUACGCUCUUUUUCGACUCCAGACCCACUCAAUUACAGUCCCAGAUCGAGAACAAGAGCUAGGGUUCUAGUUUUGUUACUGGAGCUACCAUAGCCGCACAACCAUCAUUCAACCUCAGAAUGCAGGUUGAUACGUACUUAAUGUUGCUUAGCAUUAGUCGAGGUCAUUCUCCAUCUUAAAGAUUGCAGGAUCCGUCUUGAAACGGUCCUUUCUAAGUUAAAUGUUAGUUGCUAUUUUGCAAUGCAUUUAUGGAUUAUCAACGUAUGCUUCCUCUUUGCCCAGUUUCAUAAACUGCUUACCUAUUAAGUUACAAGUUACAUGUAUGAUCAAUUUCACAUUCUUCAUGCAACCCAUUUGGGAGCUUCCAAAUUCUAACAAUACCCAAAA